UACGGAGGGUGCAAGCGUUAAUCGGAAUUACUGGGCGUAAAGAGUGCGUAGGUGGUUAAAUAAGUUAUCUGUGAAAUCCCUGGGCUUAACCUGGGCAGGUCAGAUGAUACUGUUUGACUCGAGUAUGGGAGAGGGUAGUGGAAUUUCCGGUGUAGCGGUGAAAUGCGUAGAGAUCGGAAGGAACACCAGUGGCGAAGGCGGCUACCUGGCCUAAUACUGACGCUCAUGUGCGAAAGCGUGGGGAGCAAACAGG
rnacentral:rRNA from 1 species